GACGAACGCUGGCGGCGUGCUUAACACAUGCAAGUCGAACGGAAAGGCCCUGCUUUUGUGGGGUGCUCGAGUGGCGAACGGGUGAGUAACACGUGAGUAACCUGCCCUUGACUUUGGGAUAACUUCAGGAAACUGGGGCUAAUACCGGAUAGGAGCUCCUGCUGCAUGGUGGGGGUUGGAAAGUUUCGGCGGUUGGGGAUGGACUCGCGGCUUAUCGGCUUGUUGGUGGGGUAGGGGCUUACCAAGGCUUUGACGGGUAGCCGGCCUGAGAGGGUGACCGGCCACAUUGGGACUGAGAUACGGCCCAGACUCCUACGGGAGGCAGCAGUGGGGAAUAUUGCACAAUGGGCGGAAGCCUGAUGCAGCAACGCCGCGUGCGGGAUGACGGCCUUCGGGUUGUAAACCGCUUUCGCCUGUGACGAAGCGUGAGUGACGGUAAUGGGUAAAGAAGCACCGGCUAACUACGUG
rnacentral:rRNA from 1 species